rnacentral:rRNA from 1 species
UACGUAGGGUGCAAGCGUUGUCCGGAAUUAUUGGGCGUAAAGAGCUCGUAGGCGGUCUGUCACGUCGGACGUGAAAAUCCAGGGCUCAACCCUGGACCUGCGUUCGAUACGGGCAGACUAGAGUUCGGUAGGGGAGACUGGAAUUCCUGGUGUAGCGGUGAAAUGCGCAGAUAUCAGGAGGAACACCGGUGGCGAAGGCGGGUCCCUGGGCCGAAACUGACGCUGAGUGCGCGAAAGCUAGGGUAGCAAACGGG